GAUGAACGCUGGCGGCGUGCUUAACACAUGCAAGUCGAACGGAAAGGCUCCUGCUUGCAGGGGUACUCGAGUGGCGAACGGGUGAGUAACACGUGGGUGAUCUGCCCUGCACUUCGGGAUAAGCCUGGGAAACUGGGUCUAAUACCGGAUAGGACGAUGGUUUGGAUGCCAUUGUGGAAAGUUUUUCGGUGUGGGAUGAGCUCGCGGCCUAUCAGCUUGUUGGUGGGGUAAUGGCCUACCAAGGCGUCGACGGGUAGCUGGCCUGAGAGGGUGUACGGCCACAUUGGGACUGAGAUACGGCCCAGACUCCUACGGGAGGCAGCAGUGGGGAAUAUUGCACAAUGGGCGCAAGCCUGAUGCAGCGACGCCGCGUGGGGGAUGACGGCCUUCGGGUUGUAAACUCCUUUCGCUAGGGACGAAGCGCAAGUGACGGUACCUGGAGAAGAAGCACCGGCUAACUACGUG
rnacentral:rRNA from 1 species